CACGUAGUUGGCCGGUCCUUCUUCUGCACCUACCGUCACUCUCGCUUCGUCGGUGCUGAAAGAGGUUUACAACCCGAAGGCCGUCAUCCCUCACGCGGCGUUGCUGGAUCAGGCUUUCGCCCAUUGUCCAAUAUUCCCCACUGCUGCCUCCCGUAGGAGUCUGGGCCGUGUCUCAGUCCCAGUGUGGCCGGUCACCCUCUCAGGCCGGCUACCCGUCGUCGCCUUGGUGAGCCACUACCUCACCAACAAGCUGAUAGGCCGCGAGCCCAUCCCUCUCCGCCGGAACUUUCCACCACCCCACAUGCAUGAGGCAGUCAUAUCGGGUAUUAGCCAGCGUUUCCACUGGUUAUCCCCCAAGAGAAGGGCAGGUUGCUCACGUGUUACUCACCCGUUCGCCGCUCGUGUACCCCCGAAAGGGCCUUACCGCUCGACUUGCAUGUGUUAAGCACGCCGCCAGCGUUCGUCCUGAGCCAGGAUCAAACUCU
rnacentral:rRNA from 1 species